CGUCUUAAGGCGUGCGUAGCGAAGCUAACGCGCUAAGUAGACCGCCUGGGGAGUACGGUCGCAAGGUUAAAACUCAAAUGAAUUGACGGGGGCCCGCACAAGCGGUGGAGCAUGUGGUUUAAUUCGAAGCAACGCGCAGAACCUUACCAGGCCUUGACAUCCUCGGAACAAUCUAGAGAUAGAUUGGUGCCUUCGGGAACCGAGUGACAGGUGCUGCAUGGCU
rnacentral:rRNA from 1 species